UCCGUAGGUGGAUAAUUAAGUCAGAGGUGAAAUCCUGCAGCUCAACUGUAGAAUUGCCUUUGAUACUGGUUAUCUUGAGUCAUUAUGAAGUGGUUAGAAUGUGUAGUGUAGCGGUGAAAUGCAUAGAUAUUACACAGAAUACCGAUUGCGAAGGCAGAUCACUAAUAAUGUACUGACACUGAGGGAAGAAAGCGUGGGGAGCGAACAGGAUUAGAUACCCUGGUAGUCC
rnacentral:rRNA from 1 species